GACACAUUCAGUGAAGAUUUGUUCUCAGGUUGAUCUGUGCAAUUUUGAUGGCACUCAUGGUGUCAAGUGAGGACUGGUUAGGAUCCUUGAACUAGCAGGAGAGGUGUUGUAUAUUUUAACUCAUAAACAUGUAGUUUUACAAGAGUUGUCGCUAUCUUUAAUGAUAUGAUGUUGACAUGUUGUCAAUCCAGACUGUCAUGCUAGCUUCUGGUGCUGCCAUUGGAUAGGGUUCAAGAUUGACUAUGACUAAUACAUCGAACAAGAUUAAGAAGGGGACAAAAGGAGAUGUUUCUGUAUUGAAUCCUACUCUUAUAAUUUCAGUUCUUGCAAUUUUGGAUCGUAUCAGAGAUGCAUUGUUUAAGAAAGUUGGUGAGAAGGGUGGCCUCACAAAAAAGCUAUUUGAUUUUGCAUAUAAGCGGAAUCUUGCAUCAAUUGAGGGGAAUUGAGGGUGAUUCCUCUGGUGGGUGCGCAGGGUUACGCCCAGUGGAAUCUUGCAUCAAUAAGGGGUUCUGAUUAUCCGAUGUCGAGAGGAGAGGUAGUGGUUGGCGGACACAGUACAACAAAAGGCUAUAGGACUAACUGUAUUGUAUGUGAUAUUCUGUGAACUUAUAUAUUUGGACUUGUGUGAAUUUGUGAUAUGAACAUAUAUCAAUGUGUUUGAAAUCUGUAUUGUAUGUGA